GGGGAGCGAGAGACAUCCAUGGAAGGUGCUGAGCUAUCUCAGAGUUUUUGCAAGCUUCCCUGCUUUUUCCCCAUCAGUGUGUUAAAGAGGAAAUCCCCCUUACAAAUCUCCCCUCAGAGGGGCAUGUAAGGGACCAAAACCAUCUUAACCAGAGCCAGCAGCACAGGAUACCCUGUGGUACUGAACUUUGAUUCACGUACCACAAUGAAUGAAAGACGUGAUGGGAAACCUGAGCUGAAGAGAGCAGGAACGUAUGAGCAGUGCAAUUUUGGUCUUCUGGAAGUAUCAUUUCUGGGCACAUUCUGAGAAAUGCAUGUACAUCCAGACCAGGAAAGUGAAAACCUCCAAGUCUUUUCAAAGGUUGUACUGGACUGGAAACAACGGAGAACGGUUAUCUGUGUUUCAGGAGUGAAAUUUUAGGGUAUGUAAAGCUAUUUGACCUGUUCUGAUAUGCUUAAAGAGUUUACAUAUCCUUUGGGUAUAAAGAGAUAUCUUUGACUUCUACACCUAAUUAUGGAAUACAUCAAAAAAAAAGUCAACCAAGAAUGUAUUAUUUCUGGUUCCAUUACAUGAAAUGUAUGAUUGACAAUUGUAAAAUGUAUUUGUAAAGAAACAUGUAAUUGAUUACUGCCUCCAGGCAUGAGGAGAUUUAUGCACUAAAAGUUUCACACAGGUUUUUGCUUGACUAUUGCUGUACCAUUCAUGCAGAACAUAUGUACCUAUAAUGACAGCUUCUAGUGUACAUUCUUCUAAAAUAGUCCUGCUUUCCAAGGGUUAAAUGGUCACUGUUUCCUGAUGUUAAUAUCUUUACAUCUACAAAAUUGCAGUAAUUUAAUUUUAUAUUGUAUAUUUGCAUUUAUAAAUAAUUAUAAAUAAAUAGAAGUAAGUAUAAGUAAUUAUAACAUAACUAUAACAUGUCUAUAAUAAAUAUUAUACAUAAAUAUAUGACUUUAUACAAUAAAUAUAAUAGGUAUGAAUGUAUUAUAAAUACAUUUAAACUAAUAUUUAUAAAUAACAUCCUGCUGUUAUAUUUUUUUCUUUCAAAAAUAUUAUAUAUUAUAAAAAGAUCAAAUGUAUGCGACAGCUUCAUUUUAUGUCACCAGACAGUUCGUUAGAGGAUGAAGAUAGAAAUGGCAAUGCUCAUGAAUAGGGUUUUCUGUUUUUUUGUUUUUUGUUUUGCUUGAAUUAUGCUAAAAUCUGAUUGCUUUCAUUAUUUCUUGUCAAAACGAGUUUCUCAGUGAAGCUGUGACUGUGUGCAGUGCUCUUUGUCCUGCAAUUGGAGCCAGGAGCUUUUCUGCUGACAUCUGCUCUGAAGUUCUUAAUGUAAAUGGAAGUGUACUUUGAUUGGAUUUGCAUAUUGUAGAGCUGAUAUUAAUGGAUUUCAGACGUUGCACAGCUACAAGAACUGCAAAACCAAGAGAAUGUGUCAGCUCCAACAAUCCACCCUUGGGAUGCGAUUGGCUGCCACAGCUCUGUGUGAAUAAAAUGUUUGUUAUUUCAGCAAUGAACUCCUGGGUUUCCUGGACUUUGUUGGUAAGUAUGGGUCCUAACACUGAAGUCUGACUAUAUAAAUUGAAAUCAGGCUAUAAAAAGAACUCAAAGGACUAAAGAGAGAACACAGGAAAGCAUGCCAUCAGAAUAUUUGGAACUUUUAUUUCAAGGAGGGUGUUUGUCAUUUCAAGAAUAUUUGGUAGUUUUUUAACUGCUUAUAGAAGCUUAUCCUAUAACUUAGGGGUCUUUUUAUCUGCAAAAAUUUACAUAAUCAUAAAGUUAAUUAGCUAUUUCACUCCUCUUCAAAAACAAUGGAUGUAAAAGAGCUGCAAGGAUCCCACUUUCAAUGGGAUGGCUCAGUACUCCCUCUACCCCUGUAAAGCAUGAUGUGGAGCCUGGAAAAAACAGCUGUACAGGGUAGAACAUUGAGAGGAAGUGUAUGACAGCCUGAAAGGAUGGGCAAUGGGUGACCAAACUUUGACACUAGAAAUGGGGCUGCACUAAUGCUUGAAGCAGGAAGCUUAAUGAUCUGAUGGAAUUUUAAGCUGAGGUGAAGAUAGGACAGGUGAAUGCAGCAAAGACAUAGAGGAGAUGUGGAAAAGGUGAUUGGAGUUAUGUAUGCCAUCUGUCGAUCAUUUUGCAGUUCUGAGACACUUUUGUUUUGAGAAGAGGUUUUGAGACACUGCGGAUUUGUUAUUGCUUUAAGCCAAGUGUUUCUCACUACCUAAGUGGCUAUUAUCAAUGAUUUGCUUCCCUGAUUUAUUUCUUUUCAUUCAUAUCAUUUUCUGUUCACUUUUUGGGUUUGGUAUUUCUAUAAUAAAUUUGGUAUGAAAAAGAAGC
ensembl:lncRNA